UUUUAUUCAAGGUUCUACAUAAAUUAAUAAUUACGGCUCAAUGUCGUUACCGAUCGAACGAAUGACGUUGCUCAAAUUACGCAGGACGGCCUUUCCGUUCUCGUGAAGAAAAACCUUCCUUCUCCGGUCAAAAAUAUUUAUCCGUGGAUUUUAUUAAGGUGUUCGAAACAGAAAGACGCUUCGAUCGUUUACGACAAUACGGGAACGUCAUUGGGAAUUUCGAGGUAACCAGAAUUUAAAUACGAAUUGAUAGGACUACAAACUGAGAUAAUAACAGAGAAAUGUUACUUUAGAAAUAUAACCUGCAAAUACCUGACCAAGUGAAUAAAAGAAAUAAUAAAAAAAAUUAAAAAAGG